GGUAAAAUAAUCUCGCCCGAGGGAGAUCCGGGCCGUAUAGGUAGUGUGCCUGUUUUGCACUGAUGAGAUGCUUUUUCCUCAUCUGGUCAAUUAAAAGCCUAACCAUUGUCUGAGUCUCAAGGUACAUAGGAUCCGUGAGAGGGCGAUAGUAGACCGGGUCAUUAAGUUGACGUGUCGCCUCCAGAAUGUAAUUAGUACGGUCCUGUAUUACAAUUUGCCCUCCCUUAUCCGCCGGUUUAAUAAUAAUCUCAUGGUGAGAUUUUAGUUUGUUGAGGGCCUGUUGUUGAUGGACAGUAAUAUUGGCCUCCCCUACAGGACGUCGAGGUCGGAGGUCACGGAAGGAGCGGAGGUCCUGAUCGAUGAGCUGGCGUAUAGGCUUCGAGACGGACUUCAAGGCUGGUUCCCAGAUAGACGGCGUAGUAAAAGGUAACACCGCCUGACCAGGUGGUGGAGUGGUCAGCGCCGGCGAGGAGGACGACGGACAGAGUCGCUUCCGGGUCGCGGCACUUGCGAGGGAGAGACGGUUGGGUCUAGGGGCUGAGGAAGCGGUAAUGGUGACUGGGGGCUCCGGGUCCGGCGUGGGAGAUCCAAGGCUCGUCUCCAGGACGCCAGGAGGGUCAAUGACUGCCGAGGUGGUCCGCACCGGUGGGACGACCGGAGGAGGACGUGGCCUGGUCACUGGUGCCAUAGUGGACUGUGGUCGUCUGGGAAGCGGUGGAAAGGCCCCAAGGUCCGAGAGGAGCAGCGGAGUGGCAGGCGGUGGCGGAUCCGGGGCCGACAGCAGCAGCCGUAGUGCGGAGAUGGAAGACGGAGUAAGGGGUCUGCCAUAGCGCUGGUGGGCCCACCGGAGGGCUCUGUCGAGGGCCUCAUUGUUAAAUGGCCCCAGGUUAGUACGGAUCUUUGCUAUAGUGUAUGUAUAAUGUUGUAUUAAGGUCUUUACAUUUAUAAUCAUGUCCUCCAUUGUGUUCUCUUUAAUUUUGUUUAAGACCAGAUCGUCAGGGGCCGCCGGUUUAAUGAAUGCUCUAAGUUGAGCUUCUUUCCUAGCCAUCCCUAAUGGUGGGAUGCCUGUUCUAAUGGAUUCUUCUAGAAUUUCUGUAUGAUGAAUUGAUUGUAAUAUUUGAAAAUAAUGUUUGAUUAAUUUCGGGUCUAGAUCGGUUGAAGGACUCGUCCCGACCGGAGUCAAUUUUACGUGUUUCUGUCGGUCUGUAAGGUGAUUGGGCCUACCCAAUAGGCUAAACCUAUUUCUAAAAUCAUUAGCCAUUUCGUUAGAAGAUAAAAUGGAAUGAAAAUAAAAAAGGCCUAGGACUAUUU